CAAGGGAGGAUAAAUAUAUUCGGAAGGCAAUUUUUAUCACCUAAAUUAAUUUACCCCUUUUAACCGUUUCGCGCCUCGCUGCGUCUCCCUGAUAAGCGGCGAAAUCGAAUUGCAGUUCCAGAAUCGGAUCCAAAGAACAUCUCUCUGCGCAGUUUCAGAUUUGGACAAUGCGAUGAGAAGCAUAGAUGAAUUGAUAUGGACCUUCCCAGUCUAAUGCGGGAAUCCAGUGUCCAGAGUCGAAGCACAUGUUUUCAAUCCAUGUGAUGGGCGCCAACUUUGAGAGCAACCGUCAUCUCACUCUACAAACCAUCACACUAAUCCGUGACAGAUAUGCAGAUAUUGUACGUCACUGUCACUGCACAUUGGAGCUUUCUUUUGUUCAAGAAAUGGUUGAUGUUUUUCUUCUUCUAAGGAGCAUACUUACACCUUCUGUAUUAUGGGGGAAAGUGUUCCCAUAGGACCAAGAUUGGGCAUUCGGGCCAUAUAACUGUAAUAUAACAGAAUGAUGGCUUGAAGAAGAAUUUUUUUCCUGCUGGUUAUAUUGUUCAUGUAUCCAUUGUUUGCUAAACGCAAGAUACGCAAAAAUCCACAAAACAAAUCUUGUCUUUGAAUCUGGGAUUCACUCCCACCUGGGUGUCCAUUUAUAUAUGGAUACAACUUAAUGCCAUGAGUUGCACACGGCAUACAAAGGUCAUCUACAGCUUCAAAACUGCUAAAAGAUCAAAUCUUGUUACAGCUGUAUUUUCUGAUGGCUCUUGUUGAAAGGGGUACAUAGUGAGGAUUUUUGCAUUCUGGAAGGUCUUGGUCUUUGUUUUUCUUGUCCUUCAUCGGCAGAUAUAUUCAUUGUUCAUGCACUUAUUUGGAUUAUGGAUCUUCUGUGGGCCAAUUGAUAAGUCCUUAAAUCAGGACCGUUCAUUAUUAGCUAUUGAUAGUCAUAGGAGGAAAACCUUUUAAGAUGUCCGCUGCCAAUUUAUGUAUCGUGUUCCCACAAACAACUAAAUAAAUGGGAAUACCUAUAUAUGGAUGUUUUUGUUUUUAGUUUCUGACUAACCAGAAAGGUUUCAAUCAUGUCAAAGCUGGGUUUUUUGUGAAGAAGAUACUUCCACAAAGAUCUCAAUUCAUCAAGCAUAAUAUAAUAGUGUCCUGGGAGAAGCUUUCAGAUUAGCUCAAAUGAAGGAUUAAGACGGGAACUGAAAUUAUGUCUGCAAUGUGGAUUUGUAGAACUUCAUAUCGUGGUGUUGAUUUGAUAUGUUCGAAGAUUCAAGCUAAUGUGAAAUCAUGAUAAGAGUAAUAAAAGAGAGUCUGAACUGUGAAAUCCUUGCUCUCUGCCAUUCAAAUUUCUUGUGCUUUUUCC